rnacentral:rRNA from 1 species
AGAGUUUGAUCAUGGCUCAGGAUGAACGCUGGCGGCGUGCUAAUACAUGCAAGUCGAGCGGUAACACUUCGGGUGACGAGCGGCGGACGGCUGAGUAGCACGUAGGAACGUACCCCAAAGUGAGGGAUAAGCACCGGAAACGGUGUCUAAUACCGCAUGUGCUCUUCGGAGUAAAGCUUCGGCGCUUUGGGAACGGCCUGCGCAUGAUUAGCUUGUUGGUGAGGUAAAAGCUCACCAAGGCGACGAUCAUUAGCUGGUCUGAGAGGAUGAUCAGCCAGACUGGGACUGAGAACGGCCCAGACUCCUACGGGAGGCAGCAGUAGGGAAUUUUCCACAAUGGGCGAAAGCCUGAUGGAGCAACGCCGCGUGCAGGACGAAGGCUUUCGGGUCGUAAACUGCUUUUAUCUGUGACGAAUAUGACGGUAGCAGAUGAAUAAGGAUCGGCUAACUCCGUGCCAGCAGCCGCGGUCAUACGGAGGAUCCAAGCGUUAUCCGGAAUUACUGGGCGUAAAGAGUUGCGUAGGUGGCAGAGUAAGUUGGUAGUGAAAGCGUGCGGCUCAACCGCAUAUCCAUUAUCAAAACUGCUCAGCUAGAGGACGAGAGAGGUUAUUGGAAUUCCUAGUGUAGGAGUGAAAUCCGUAGAUAUUAGGAGGAACACCGAUGGCGUAGGCAGAUAACUGGCUCGUUCCUGACACUAAGGCACGAAAGCGUGGGUAGCAAACGGGAUUAGAUACCCCGGUAGUCCACGCCGUAAACGAUGGAUGCUAGCUGUAUUCGGUAUCGACCCCGGAUGUAGCGAAGCUAACGCGUUAAGCAUCCCGCCUGUGGAGUACGGUCGCAAGACUAAAACUUAAAUGAAUUGACGG